CUCUAAAAGAACUGUGCAGUUGAUAUAACAAUUAGCUGAGGAGUGGGUAGAGUAGUUAGGGAAGACCUCUCAGGAGCUGACAUUUGAAUGACUUCAUGGUAUGCUUUUGACACUGUGUUUCCAUAAAAAAGAUUUUUUUUUCCUGUAUGAGUUAUCUGACUAAUGCCAGAUGAUUUCUGGAAUUUAAAAAUAGAAGUUGUACUUAGGACAUUUCCUUUUUAGAAUUAAAAGCCUGGGGAAUGCUUGGAACAUGUAUUAAACUCUGCUUCUUUCGGUAUAUCAGAUGCCCGCAGGGGAAAAAAUAAAAAGUAUAAUUUUCAAUUGAAAUAUGGCAAUUGAUAUUUUAAAUACUACUUAAAAUUCACACUAGUAAUUGAUAACAUACCUGCU
rnacentral:lncRNA from 1 species